UACAGAGGGUGCGAGCGUUAAUCGGAAUUACUGGGCGUAAAGCGUGCGUAGACGGUUAUUUAAGUCGGGUGUGAAAGCCCCGGGCUCAACCUGGGAAUGGCAAUGGAAACUGGCGGGCUGGAGUAUGGCAGAGGGGGGGUGGAAUUCCGCGUGUAGCAGUGAAAUGCGUAGAGAUGCGGAGGAACACCGAUGGCGAAGGCAGCCCCCCUGGGCCAAUACUGACGCUCAGGCACGAAAGCGUGGGGAGCAAACAGG
rnacentral:rRNA from 1 species